UACGUAGGGUGCAAGCGUUGUCCGGAAUUAUUGGGCGUAAAGAGCUCGUAGGCGGCUUGUCGCGUCGAAUGUGAAAUCCUGCGGCUCAACUGCAGGCUUGCAUUCGAUACGGGCAGGCUAGAGUUCGGUAGGGGAGACUGGAAUUCCUGGUGUAGCGGUGAAAUGCGCAGAUAUCAGGAGGAACACCGGUGGCGAAGGCGGGUCUCUGGGCCCGGUACUGACGCUGAGGUGCGAAAGCGUGGGGAGCAAACAGG
rnacentral:rRNA from 1 species